UACGUAGGGUGCGAGCGUUGUCCGGAAUUAUUGGGCGUAAAGAGCUCGUAGGCGGUUUGUUGCGUCGGCCGUGAAAACUUGGGGCUUAACUCCGAGCUUGCGGUUGAUACGGGCAGACUUGAGUUCGGCAGGGGAGACUGGAAUUCCUGGUGUAGCGGUGAAAUGCGCAGAUAUCAGGAGGAACACCGGUGGCGAAGGCGGGUCUCUGGGCCGAUACUGACGCUGAGGAGCGAAAGCGUGGGGAGCGAACAGG
rnacentral:rRNA from 1 species